UAUGUCUGGGAACUGCCUGAUGGAGGGGGAUAACUACUGGAAACGGUAGCUAAUACCGCAUAACGUCGCAAGACCAAAGAGGGGGACCUUCGGGCCUCUUGCCAUCGGAUGUGCCCAGAUGGGAUUAGCUUGUUGGUGGGGUAACGGCUCACCWAGGCGACGAUCCCUAGCUGGUCUGAGAGGAUGACCAGCCACACUGGAACUGAGACACGGUCCAGACUCCUACGGGAGGCAGCAGUGGGGAAUAUUGCACAAUGGGCGCAAGCCUGAUGCAGCCAUGCCGCGUGUAUGAAGAAGGCCUUCGGGUUGUAAAGUACUUUCAGCGGGGAGGAAGGGAGUAAAGUUAAUACCUUUGCUCAUUGACGUUACCCGCAGAAGAAGCACCGGCUAACUCCGUGCCAGCAGCCGCGGUAAUACGGAGGGUGCAAGCGUUAAUCGGAAUUACUGGGCGUAAAGCGCACGCAGGCGGUUUGUUAAGUCAGAUGUGAAAUCCCCC
rnacentral:rRNA from 1 species